rnacentral:rRNA from 1 species
GGUGAACGCUGGCGGCGUGCUUAAGACAUGCAAGUCGAACGCAGUCUUCGGACUGAGUGGCGCACGGGUGAGUAACACGUAACUGACCUACCCCCAAGUCGCGAAUAACCAGCCGAAAGGAUGGCUAAUACGUGAUGUGAUGAUCCGCUGUGGCGGAUCAUUAAAGACUUGAUCGCUUGGGGAUGGGGUUGCGUUCCAUCAGCUAGUUGGUAAGGUAAAGGCUUACCAAGGCAACGACGGAUAGCCGGCCUAAGAGGGUGGCCGGCCACAGGGGCAGUGAGACACGGGUCCCACUCCUACGGGAGGCAGCAGUUAGGAAUCUGCCACAAUGGGCGCGAGCCUGAUGGAGCGACGCCGCGUGAGGGAUGAAGGUUCUCGGAUCGUAAACCUCUGAACCAACGACGAAAGACCCGACAAGGGAGAUGACGGUAGUUGGGUAAUAGCACCGGCUAACUCCGUGCCAGCCGCCGCCGUAAGAC